UCUUCCCAGGAAGAUGAAAUGGAGAAAGACUAAAAGCAAAUGAUAAAGGAAGCUUUUGCUGGGGAUGAUAUCAUCAAAGAGUUCCUAAAAGAGAAGAGAAAAACUAUCCAGGCCAAUAAGCCAAAGGACAUGGAUCCGACUUUGCCUGGCUGGGGAUAGUGGGACAGCAUGAACCUGAAGCCCGGAACCAAGAAAAGACACAGUAUUUGGCUUUCAAGAUUUCUUAUUAAGGACCCUGAAGAUCCUCCAAGAAAAGAUAAGAAUUUGCCCAAUGUGCUUGUUAGUGAGAAGUACAACAUUAACAUUACAGCACACCAGAAAAACUCACGGAAUUACAAACUGAACUGUACUGACAGCACUGAGUUCAGGAACUGAACAGAACUAAAGGAACUCAACUGAACUCAAUUGAUUCCUACAGAACUGCACUGAAAGCAACUGCAUUCAACUGAAGGCAAGUUUACUUCUCUCACUGGACUGCUCUUAAUAGUCUCUCUUGUCUAUUCUCAUGAGAAUUGUGCAUAUGCUAUCUCUGACUCAUUCUGUA